UGGGGAAUUUUGGACAAUGGGCGCAAGCCUGAUCCAGCCAUGCCGCGUGCAGGAUGAAGGCCUUCGGGUUGUAAACUGCUUUUGUACGGAACGAAAAGGUGCCUUCUAAUAAAGGGCGCUCAUGACGGUACCGUAAGAAUAAGCACCGGCUAACUACGUGCCAGCAGCCGCGGUAAUACGUAGGGUGCGAGCGUUAAUCGGAAUUACUGGGCGUAAAGCGUGCGCAGGCGGUUUUGUAAGACAGAGGUGAAAUCCCCGGGCUCAACCUGGGAACUGCCUUUGGGACUGCAAGGCUGGAGUGCGGCAGAGGGGGAUGGAAUUCCGCGUGUAGCAGUGAAAUGCGUAGAUAUGCGGAGGAACACCGAUGGCGAAGGCAAUCCCCUGGGCCUGCACUGACGCUCACGCACGAAAGCGUGGGGAGCAAACA
rnacentral:rRNA from 1 species